UGGGGAAUAUUGCACAAUGGGCGCAAGCCUGAUGCAGCGACGCCGCGUGCGGGAUGACGGCCUUCGGGUUGUAAACCGCUUUCAGCUCUGACGAAGCUUUUGUGACGGUAGGAGCAGAAGAAGCACCGGCUAACUACGUGCCAGCAGCCGCGGUAAUACGUAGGGUGCGAGCGUUGUCCGGAAUUAUUGGGCGUAAAGAGCUUGUAGGCGGCUUGUCGCGUCUGCUGUGAAAGCCCGGGGCUUAACCCCGGGUCUGCAGUGGGUACGGGCAGGCUAGAGUGUGGUAGGGGAGACUGGAAUUCCUGGUGUAGCGGUGGAAUGCGCAGAUAUCAGGAGGAACACCGAUGGCGAAGGCAGGUCUCUGGGCCAUUACUGACGCUGAGAAGCGAAAGCGUGGGGAGCGAACAGG
rnacentral:rRNA from 1 species